rnacentral:lncRNA from 1 species
GGGAUUUUAUGGGAUGGUUGUGAGGAUGAGCGGGGUGGGGUGGGAUGGGAUGGGAUGGGACCUCAAAACCCAUCCAGGGACAAUUCCCACCAUUCCAGGCUGCUCCAAGUUUUCCUCGGACAUUCCCGGGAUCCAGGGGCAGCCGCAGCUGCUCUGGCAAUUCCAGCUGGGAAUUCCCAAUUCCCAACAUCCCAGCCCCAUCUCCCCUUGCCCAGGGAAUUCCCUCCAUUCCCAGCUCUCCCAGCCUGGCAUUGGAUCCAAAGGAAUUUUGGGAUCCAGGGGUUUCCCUGGGAAUCUCGGCACUGCAGGAAGGGUCUCCCUUUCCUUUUCCAGCCCCAACUUCCAGAAAAAUCCCUCGGGAUGGAUUCGGAGCCUCCCAAAUCCCAGAAUCCCGGAAUGGUUUGGGAUGGGAUCCAGGGACCUUCAAUCCCACCCCAUUCCAAUCCCACCAUCCCAGGCUGCUCCAAGCUUUCCCUGGACAUUCCCGGGAUCCAGGGGCAGCCCCAGCUGCUCUGGGAAUUCCAUUCCAGCCGGGAAUUCCUUCCCAAAUUCCGCUUUUCCGAUCUGGAGCCAUUCCCUGUGUCCUGCCCCUCCAGGCCUUUCCCAAAUUCCGGCUCUCCUGGAGCCCCUCCAGGCCCUGGAAUGUUCUGGAAGCUCUCCCUGGCUCCUUCCCUUCUCCAGAGGAACAUUCCCAGUUUUCCCAGCCUCUCCAGAGCAGAGGGCUCUGAUUUCCUGGGAUUUCCUGGGAUUCCCGCCGGUGUCAGAUCCCUUUCCUUUCCCGUUCCCCGUCCGUUCCGUGGGGACCGGGAUGGGGACAACUCCGAGGGGACAGCGCCGGGCUCGGGAGCUUUGUCCCCAUCCCAGAUUCCCACAGCGGGAAUUCCAGGGAGGAUUCCCAGGGGGUCCCACAUGUCCCAGUACCCAGGGGACACCGGUCCGGCCAUCCCUGAGCUCCUCAGGCCGCAGUGACCGCCCGGUGACCACCACCGGCGUGUCCAGAGGGUCCUUCCAUGCCGGGAAAACACCGGAAUGUUCCCUCUUAUCCCAACUUUUCUCCGCUGGGUCUCUCCCGUUCCGUGCGGGACCGGGAUCAACGCGGGUCGGGGCAGGACGGGG